rnacentral:rRNA from 1 species
UACGUAGGGGGCAAGCGUUGUCCGGAAUCAUUGGGCGUAAAGAGCGCGUAGGCGGCCCUGUAAGUCCGCUGUGAAAGUCAAGGGCUCAACCCUUGAAUGCCGGUGGAUACUGCAGGGCUAGAGUCCGGAAGAGGCGAGUGGAAUUCCCGGUGUAGCGGUGAAAUGCGCAGAUAUCAGGAGGAACACCGGUGGCGAAGGCGGGUCUCUGGGCCGAUACUGACGCUGAGGAGCGAAAGCGUGGGGAGCGAACAGG